GCGAGUUGUACGUUUACCGUAGCGAACUGCUCAUUAACACGUGGCCAAGCUACCCUACAGACCGGGAUAACCUCGGGAAACUGAGGCUAAUCCCGGAUGACGCUUCCGAGCUGGAGUGCUGGAAGCGUGAAACGCUCCGGCGCUGUAGGAUGCGGCUGCGGCCGAUUAGGUAGACGGUGGGGUAACGGCCCACCGUGCCGAUAAUCGGUACGGGUCAUGAGAGUGAGAGCCCGGAGACGGAAUCUGAGACACGAUUCCGGGCCCUACGGGGCGCAGCAGGCGCGAAACCUUUACACUGCGCGACAGCGCGAUAAGGGGACACCGAGUGCGAGGGCAUAGAGCCCUCGCUUUUCAGCACCGUAGGGUGGUGCUGGAACAAGGGCUGGGCAAGACCGGUGCCAGCCGCCGCGGUAACACCGGCAGCCCAAGUGAUGGCCGCUGUUAUUGGGCCUAAAGCGUCCGUAGCUGGCCGUGGAGGUCCGUCGGGAAAUCCAUCCGCUCAACGGAUGGGCGUCCGGCGGAAACCCCACGGCUUGGGACCGGAAGACCCGAGGGGUACGUCCGGGGUAGGAGUGAAAUCCCGUAAUCCUGGACGGACCACCGGUGGCGAAAGCGCCUCGGGAGGACGGAUCCGACGGUGAGGGACGAAAGCUAGGGUCACGAACCGGAUUAGAUACCCGGG
rnacentral:rRNA from 1 species